UCCAGUAACCGUUAAACUGAGUCCAACCGGCACAGUGGCAAGGAUACUCAGUCCAGCCACAGUGUUGGGAGUUACUGGAAGUUGUUUGACUCUUAACGAAAAGGAUUCACGGACACGGACGGACAUCAUGUUCAAAGCUUCCUCUUUGCUGCUGCUGACGCUGAUCCUGAAGGUUCAGUUAAACUCUUCAGCACCGAUAUCUGCCAGAGUUGUCCAGUGUCCUGUUGUUGCUGAAGAACCAGGUCCAGAGGAACCUCACACCUGCAAAGAAUUAGUUCAGGAGAAGCUCAUUCCAGUUAUUGCAGUGGAGGCUCCUCCGUCUCCUGAGGAAUCACCAGCUGAAGAAGACAUUGCAGUUGCAGUAAGAGAACCAGAACCAGAACCCAGACCAGUACCCGUUGAAGAUGCGCUCUCUGCUGAUGCUGACGAAGCUGUAUCUCAGGGAUCAGAUCCUUGGGAGCCUUUGGCUGCAGCACAACAAGAAUCUUCAGAGGAGGAAACUGUCCUUGUAGAAGCUGCCAUGGCAGAGGCAUCUCCAGAUGAAACUAGAAUAGAAGUUGCCCCAAUUGCUACUGAAGAAAGGGAGUCUCCAGAUCAGCAGGAUGUGGAGGAUCCAGCUCAAGAGGCACCUAUCGUAGUCAUUCCUGUAAAUACUUCAGAAGAUGAAGAGAAAUCUGUUGUCCUUGUUCCUGCAGAACCUGAGACUGAAGAGGUAGUUCAAGAGGAGCCUGCUGUGGAUGAAACAGCACCAGAGGAGUCAGGCCCAGAAGAACCUGCAGUUAUUGUUCCAGUGGAAUCUGCUGAAGAGGAUCCAGAAGAACAAACAAAAGAAGAAGAUGCAGUUGUCCCAUUAGUCCUGGAGGAAUAUACUGAAGAGCACCCUGCUACUGAUGAGGAACCUGAGGAGGAAUCUGUUGUUCUCGUUCCUGUAGAACCUGAGGAAACAAUCCCAAUCAUUUCUUUAGAGACAACAAAGGAGGAAAGUCCAGAGGAACAAGCCAAAGAAGAUGCACUCGUCCCUAUAGUCCUGGAGGAAAAUGCUGAAGAGGAUCCAGCUACUGAAGAGGAACCUGAAGAAGAAUUUGUUGUCCUGGUUCCUGUAGACCCUGAGACCAAAGAGGAGGAUGAAGUCGAACCUGCUGCAGAGGAAACAGCACCCGAGGAGUCAGCUCCAGAACAUCCAGUUGUCAUUGUCCCCGUGGAUUCUUCUGAGGGAGAACCAGCGCAGGAAGAGGAAGUCGCAGAGGAAACAAUCCCCAAUGUUUUUCCAGAGGCAUCAAAAGAAGAAGCUGCUGUUACUGUAGCAAGCGUAGACCCAGAGGAGGAGGCUCCAGAAGACAACACGGAGGAAGAAGUUGUCCAGUCAGAUCCUCUUCCAGGGCUGGUUCCUCUGGAGGAGGAUCUGAAUCUGAAUAUAACUUCUGAGGAGAAUGAACAAGAGGCUCUAAUUGAAGCCCCAGUUGAACCAGAGGGGGUUCCUGCACUGGCAGGUGGCAAUGGCACCAGCAAUGCAACAGAGGAUUUUAAAGCUGCAGUAACACUGAUAGAAGAAGAACCUGUCGUGUCUUCUGUCCUAGUCCUACUGACCUGAAAAGGUGAAGUUUUGUUCGUGCACAUUCCAGGACAUAAUUAUCCUUAAUUAUGAUGAAAUUCCAAAAACUAGGUGUGAAAAUACCUCAAUUAAUUCCUGGGGCGCAAUAUUGUUGUAACAUGUUCAUAUCUGUGUAGGAGCUCACAGUGAGAAAAGUUGGCAAUUAUGAGUAGUAAUUUCCCUAAUGACAGAUUUGGUCUCUCAGCUGUGGUGAACAGAGGGGCAGUGCUUGGUGCAGCACUCUUCACACUGAUGUCUUUUAUCACCAUCGGAUUUGUUUGGAUGGCCAUAUCCAAGAAGCUGCGGUGAAUAAGUGGCACUGAAGUAAAAAUCAUUUGACACACGAUGGUAAAGCAACUGAAGCUCUGAGCUGAGCCAGUUUCAUUAUGUUGGAUCUUCACUAAGUGGACUUCCUCUAAGGGAAGUUUUAGCACUCACACAGUUUGCACAGCCAGAAAGCAACUAAAACAAUGGAAACCAGUGGUGGAAAAGGUACUGAGAUCUUCUAGUCAAGUAAAAAGUAGCAAUACCUAAUGUAAAAGUAAAGAUAGUAAAGGUCCUGUAUGCAUGUUUUACUUAAAUAGAAAUAUUAAAGUUGAUGUGGAGUUUUCCUAUAAACAAACAAAAGUAUGUUUACAUUCAGUGAAUCUCACCAACACACUGCGUAGCCUCAAGGUCUCAUUCUCAAAAAAUAUAUUGCCAGCAGUCGUCUUCACUGGCUUAUCCUGCACGUUUCUACUGUUCUUUAUGCGUUAUCGUCUUCUACGGGCAGUCAGCAAAAUAUCCUGAAACCAGUGUCUUCGUGCACGCAUACAAUACAAAUUAUACAGGGACCUAUUUCUAAAAACAUUGCUCCACAGCACACAGUGGUCAAAAACCCAACAGGGCACCUUUAAUCUAUGCCAGUGCAUCAUAUCAAACUAUAGUAUGUAAAAUCUACUAUAGUGGUGGAGUAGAACUACAGUAUAAAGUACUGUAGCAUAAUGGAAAUACACAAAUACAAGUAUCUAUAAAUUGCACUGAGUAUGUUUUCCACCUGAUCUCAACAGUGUGUCUUGUCUUGUCUACUUUGAUGCUCUUGUGACUUGUUGAUCUUAUUUAUUGCUGAUCACUAGAAUAAUAGUUAGUGCAGGUAUAGGUAUAUUUAUUUCCUAGUCUAAACAUCAAACAUGUCUUUUACACUCCACCAGAUGCAUUAAAAAGCACACACAUCCGACAUGCUGUGUAAGAGCGAGCGGGCCUAUCACUUUUCCUGUUCUGACAUGCAGCAUGAGACGGAGAGCUGUCGUAUCAGUCACGCUUUGGCAUGCUGCAGCACCAGCUAUAUGUCCACGGCUCAUCCUGCACACAGGAAAUAUUUUUAGGAUGGUAAAGGGCACAUGGUGUUCCCCAUGAAUGUUUUCAACUGUGUUCUGUAUCACGCCUGCACUCAAGUGUAGAACAGAUAUCACUUUGUGAUCGUUGCCCACUUCUAUUUGCACUUUGUCGUAAAGAGCCUGUAUGAAAUAAAUGCUGAUUUUUGCGAGACCUGGGAGUAAAGAUUUCUGCAGGAUAUUUCUUGCAGAAAGCCUUGGCCAUUCAAAUAUGAGAUAAUCUUUUAUUUAUUCAGAAAGUGUCGUUGAGAACAAGCUCUGACAACAGAUUACAUUUAUACAGCAUCACAAAAACACCUGGUACACAAACCAGUUACUACACACACAGACAGUCAUUCAAACAAUUACAAACAUUAUUUUAAGUAUUGAAUAAUUUCUAUAAGAAGCCAUGCUGAUUUAUUGUCCAGUAUUAGGUUAUUACAGACACACCAGUGUCUGUGUUUAUGCCAGAUGAUAAGAACAAGAAAUAAAAACUAUCCAACUUUCUUAGAUCUAAAUAUUCCUGUCGUUGAUAUUUUACUGGACUCUGGCAUGAAAACACCAGCAGUUGAUGGACGUCCUCGUGUGAGAGACAAGGAGUUACAGCUGUCAUAAAAAGCAGAAGGGCCUGUGACAGCUGUCAGCCUGAUGGACAUGGGAAGGUCAUCAGAGGCGAGCAGGGGUGGAAGAAUCUGACAUUGCCUGAGCUGUGGAAGGUGAGAGCUCAUGAAAAGCAGGGACGGGAAUCAGCACAUCUGGCUGUGGGAUGCCUGAAGUCCUGAGGUGAAAGAAGCA